UACGUAGGGCGCAAGCGUUAUCCGGAAUUAUUGGGCGUAAAGAGCUCGUAGGCAGUUUGUCGCGUCUGCCGUGAAAGUCCGGGGCUCAACUCCGGAUCUGCGGUGGGUACGGGCAGACUAGAGUGAUGUAGGGGAGACUGGAAUUCCUGGUGUAGCGGUGGAAUGCGCAGAUAUCAGGAGGAACACCGGUGGCGAAGGCGGGUCUCUGGCCGUUACUGACGCUGAGGAGCGAAAGCGUGGGAGCGAACAGG
rnacentral:rRNA from 1 species